rnacentral:rRNA from 1 species
GGGAAGAGCUCAAAUUUGAAAUCUGGCAGUCUUCGAUUGUCCGAGUUGUAAUCUAUAGAGGCGUUUUCCGUGCCGGACCGUGUCCAAGUCUCCUGGAAAGGAGUAUCAAAGAGGGUGAUAAUCCCGUACUUAACACGACCACCGGUGCUCUGUGAUACGUCUUCUACGAGUCGAGUUGUUUGGGAAUGCAGCUCAAAAUGGGUGGUGAAUUCCAUCUAAAGCUAAAUAUUGGCGAGAGACCGAUAGCGAACAAGUACCGUGAGGGAAAGAUGAAAAGCACUUUGGAAAGAGAGUUAAACAGUACGUGAAAUUGUUGAAAGGGAAACGAUUGAAGUCAGUCGUGUUCUUUGGAUUCAGCCAGUUCUGCUGGUCUACUUCCUUGGAACGGGACAACAUUAUUUUUGUCCUGUGGAUAAAAGUAGUAGGAAUGAGACUUCUCCGGAAGGGUUAGAGCCAAUUAUCACAUACACUUGGUGAGAAUGAGGAAUGCAGCUCGCCUUUAUGGCCGGCCUUCGGGCACGUUCGAGCUUAGG